rnacentral:rRNA from 1 species
AUUGAACGCUGGCGGCAGGCCUAACACAUGCAAGUCGAGCGGUAGAGAGAAGCUUGCUUCUCUUGAGAGCGGCGGACGGGUGAGUAAUGCCUAGGAAUCUGCCUGGUAGUGGGGGAUAACGUUCGGAACCGGACGCUAAUACCGCAUACGUCCUACGGGAGAAAGCAGGGGACCUUCGGGCCUUGCGCUAUCAGAUGAGCCUAGGUCGGAUUAGCUAGUUGGUGGGGUAAUGGCUCACCAAGGCGACGAUCCGUAACUGGUCUGAGAGGAUGAUCAGUCACACUGGAACUGAGACACGGUCCAGACUCCUACGGGAGGCAGCAGUGGGGAAUAUUGGACAAUGGGCGAAAGCCUGAUCCAGCCAUGCCGCGUGUGUGAAGAAGGUCUUCGGAUUGUAAAGCACUUUAAGUUGGGAGGAAGGGCAGUAAAUUAAUACUUUGCUGUUUUGACGUUACCGACAGAAUAAGCACCGGCUAACUCUGUG